rnacentral:tRNA from 1 species
GGGGAUGUGGCUCAAGUGGUAGCGCGCUCGCCUGGCAUGUGCGGGGCGCUGGGUUCGAUCUUCAGCACCUCA